CCAACGUUUAUCCUGUAGCUAAUUCUCCAUCUGCAAUCUUCUCAUGCAGGCAAGCUAUCUCUCCCAAUGCCUUGUAGCUGUCUGAAGGUAGAAGGAGGUCAUAAUGCAAAUGUAAAGAGAAGGAGCCUCCAGAGAGCUGAGAGGAUGACCCAGAGUGUUUAGUGACAUGGAGGCCAAGGCAAGAGCCUGUGGCUGAAGGAGGGAGAGAUCCACAAUAGCAGACCCAGCCCAGAGCUGCUGGAAGUAAAAGCCAGUCCAUGAGAAACCAAUCACUACUGCUGAAAUAUUAAGAAUGGUCCUGGACUUUGAAGCUGAGGAAAAGCCUUGUCAUCCUAUGGGACUCUGCCCUGUGGCUACUCAGCCCCCUACGUGAUAUCGCUAUCAUCUUUGAUCUAAAACAACAUCUUCAUCAACGCAGAUAUUCAUGAAAUUAUACAAAAGAGGAAUAGCAGUGAAUA